GAUGAACGCUAGCGAUAGGCUUAACACAUGCAAGUCGAGGGGCAGCAUGGUCUUAGCUUGCUAAGACUGAUGGCGACCGGCGCACGGGUGCGUAACGCGUAUGCAACUUGCCUCACAGAGGGGGAUAACCCGUCGAAAGACGGACUAAUACCGCGUACACUUGGGAUAGGGCAUCCUGACCCAAGGAAAUGAAAUUCGCUGUGAGAUAGGCAUGCGUCCCAUUAGCUAGUUGGUGAGGUAACGGCUCACCAAGGCGACGAUGGGUAGGGGAACUGAGAGGUUGAACCCCCGCACUGGUACUGAGACACGGCCCAGACUCCUACGGGCGGCAGCAGUGAGGACUAUUGGUCAAUGGGCGAGAGCCUGAACCAGCCAAGUCGCGUGAAGGAUGACUGUCUUAUGGAUUGUAAACUUCUUUUAUACGGGAAUAACAAGAGCCACGUGUGGCUCCCUGCAUGUACCGUAUGAAUAAGCAUCGGCUAACUCCGU
rnacentral:rRNA from 1 species